rnacentral:misc_RNA from 1 species
UUUAGAUCUUCAUCUGUCAUGUGCACAAGAGCAGCCAUAUCAACUUCUUCAGCUUGAAAUGUAAUUGCAUACUUCUCAAGACCCAAUGACUGUAGAAAAUUAUCCACUGAUUCCGCCUUUUGCUGGGACUUCUUCUUUGAAACUGUGCUGGCAAUUUUUUUUGUCUCCAUGGCAGGAGCUUCAGCUGUGCUACUUCUCCUGACAUGUUUGCUUAUUUCAGGAGCCACCUUCAGCUUUGCUUUGGGGGGAUCAGUUUCCACUUUUUGUGAGUAUACAGUACCAGAAAGCUUUUCACGCAGAUCCCGGACACCUCCAGAGACAGAACCUUUAACACUUUGAGUAGCUUGUUGGACACUUUUCUUUUGUAGUUUCAGACGAAGAUCCUUAGCACCGAUUCUCUGGCUUGAUCCUGGAAGCUCAUGACGCUCGUAAAGAUCAUGCUCCCAUUUGUCAUCUUCUUCUCUGUGCCUCUUGCCGGUAACUUGUCUACGACGAGCGAAAUCAUCAGCAGUGUUGCCGUUAAGCCUAUCCCUUAUCGACCUCUUUGUCACUGCCUCCACCCGAUCGGCGUACAUCGUGUUCUCCGAAUGGCCCCGCACUCGAUUCUUAGCACGGAACCCUAACCUUAACCCUAAUUGAACUUUCACCUUUUACAGACACGAAUUGGAGGAAAUUGAGAAGUGGAAAUAGAGAGGAGACAGGGAUUUUGGGGGAACUAAUUCACGAGAGG